UACGUAGGGGGCAAGCGUUGUCCGGAAUCAUUGGGCGUAAAGAGCUCGUAGGCGGCUCGGUAAGUGAGGUGUGAAAACUCCAGGCUCAACCUGGAGACGCCACCUCAUACUGCCGUGGCUAGAGUCCGGUAGGGGAGCAUGGAAUUCCUGGUGUAGCGGUGAAAUGCGCAGAUAUCAGGAGGAACACCAGUGGCGAAGGCGGUGCUCUGGGCCGGAACUGACGCUGAGGAGCGAAAGCGUGGGGAGCGAACAGG
rnacentral:rRNA from 1 species